rnacentral:rRNA from 1 species
AUACGUAGGUGGCGAGCGUUGUCCGGAAUUACUGGGCGUAAAGGAUGCGUAGGUGGAUAUUUAAGUGGGAUGUGAAAUCCCCGGGCUCAACCCGGGAACUGCAUUCCAAACUGGAUGUCUAGAGUGCAGGAGAGGAAAGCGGAAUUCCUAGUGUAGCGGUGAAAUGCGUAGAUAUUAGGAGGAACACCAGUGGCGAAGGCGGCUUUCUGGACUUUUGUAACUGACACUGAGGCAUGAAAGCGUGGGUAGC